CUCUCUCUCUCUCUCUCUCUCUCUCUCUCUCUCUCUCUCAGGAUUACAAACACAGCCCGUUUUUAUUCCAUUCCGACUCUUCCCUAUUUACUUCCCGCUCAACCCCAAGUCUCUAGGGCACCCCCACUCAUGCACUGAAGAAUAGCACUAACAACAAUAAUAGCUACCAUCUGGAGCACUUUACUCCAAGACAGCCAGUGAGCUCCACGUAGUGCCACCUGAGGUCAGAAGCCAUGGUCUGCAGAGGCAAGGACGGCAAGACUCAGCUGCUGAGGCCAUCAGAUCUCAGGAAAUGGAAACCACAGGCUGCUGGAGUGGAGGAGUAUCCAGUCCUUGCAGAUGGUUCACAGGCUGACAUCUCAGACUCUACUAUUUACCAGAGGCCACGAAGCCAGAGGGGAGGUGCUGAGACAGAGCUAGGUCUGUUGGACACUGACCUCUUCACAUUGCCUGCCCGGCAGCUUGCUGACAGCCUCCUAAUGAGGAGGACAGCUUGGGGGAACCUAACUCCUACCUUAUGCUGCAAUGACAAAGGAUCACUCACCCCCAGGACCCAGAAAGCUGGAAAUGCACCAUCGACUCCUCUCCUGACCUGACUUUCUCAAGAGAAGGGACUCUUAUCUGCUAGUGGAGUUUUGGAGAGGAGCUUUGUGGGGUGAAUGUGGAACUGGAUCUCUCUCUUGCCCACAUCUACGUCUGCCACUUCAGAGAGCACAUUUUGUCCAGCUUCUGGGUGUCCCCUGGGGGAGGCCGGGAAAGAGCUGGCAUCUACCUUCUGUAAGCUGGCCUGGAGCCUUCUUCCCACCCAAGGACUUAGCAGGUAAGGGCACCUAUCUCCAGCACCAGGAACCUGGCACCUCUGCACACCAUCCCCAGAGGCAGCCACCAGGCCACAUAGUACAGCUCUGCCUGCCACAGACUUCCUGGUCUUCCCAUCUCCCAUCUCACACCCCACCUCACUCCAGCCUUGUAUUAGUGACUCACAUCUCUGCCAUUAAACUUCCUGACAGAGACAACUUGAGGGAGGAAAGAUUUAUUUUGAAUCCUGGUUUCAGAGGCCUUUUAGUCCAUCAUGGUGUGGAAGGCCUGGUGGAGUUCAUGAUGGCUAGAGGAUGUCAUGGGCGCUCCUCACAUCAUGGUGGAAAGCAACGGAAACAAGAGGCAGGUGUAACCUUCAGGGGAUGACUCCAGUGACCUUACUUCCUCCGGCUUGACCCCACCUCCUGGAGGUUCCACAGUCUCACAAAACCGCACCACCAGCUGGGAAACAAGAGUCUGAAACAAAGCCCUGUGGGGGCCAUUUCAAUAGCAAACCACACAUAUAAUAAGUAUGCUUUCCUAAAAUUUCCUAAAACUCAGCCCCCCGCCCCAGUCCUCUGAGGCCCCCUACCCCAAGCCCUUGCCUGAGGAAGCUCCUUGCCCUUUCCAGGCCCAUCUUUCCCUCUGUCAUCUCACUCAGCUCAACACUCCCCACGCAAAUGUCCCCUAGACACAAACCACCUAGGGUCCUUCCUUGCUCGUAAGCCUUUCACCCACUGCCACUUUGCAAAGUCUUCUCCAUUCUCCAAGUGCUUCCUCCACCAAGAAGCCCUCUAUGACCACCACCCCACAUUAUGCUACCUUCUGUCAGACUCCAUUCUCAGAGCCCCUUGUUUCAUGGUUACCCUAGUCCUAUGGUUCUUCAAUGGUG